GGUUGUGGUUCAGCGGUAGAGCGCCCGCUUAGCACGUGAAAGGGCCUGGGUUCGAUCCUCAGCACCA
rnacentral:tRNA from 1 species